rnacentral:rRNA from 1 species
UACGUAGGGUGCAAGCGUUAAUCGGAAUUACUGGGCGUAAAGCGUGCGCAGGCGGCUUUGCAAGACAGAUGUGAAAUCCCCGGGCUUAACCUGGGAACUGCAUUUGUGACUGCAUGGCUGGAGUGCGGCAGAGGGGAUGGAAUUCCGGCGUGUAGCAGUGAAAUGCGUAGAUAUGCGGAGGAACACCGAUGGCGAAGGCAAUCCCCUGGACCUGUACUGACGCUCAUGCACGAAAGCGUGGGGAGCAAACAGG